rnacentral:lncRNA from 1 species
AUGUUCUCUGAAAGGUUUGAGAUGUUCCGCAACGAACAGCCGUUGCAUGGUCCUGCUCGUCCCAGAAGGACGCGGAGGAGAAAUGUGACAUGUACAUUUAAAGUAACUCUUCUCCGCACUGGUAUUGAUCGGUUAUCUUCUUUGAGAGAUGCCAUUGCCAGUCAGAGACUUGUUGUACAGAGAGAGCAGAGUGAGACACAGUUUGCAGAAAUUCUCAGAAGCACGUUUCCACAGCUUCAAGGGAGAGAGUUUGAAUUAUGCAGGGUUGAUGCACAGAGGCAGGUUUCACGUUUGAGUCUGGAGUCAAAAACCCCAGCAGCCAUAAUUGGUAGUGGGCAGCUAGGAAGAUCGGCACUUUAUGUACAAGAGAAGAGUACUUAUGCACUUGCACAAGUGAACUCCUCUCCAGCUCCAGCCGUGGCCUCCUUCUCAUCUCCAGCCGUGGCCUCCUUCUCAGCUCCAGCCGUGGCCUCCUCUGCUGCUCCAGCUCCAGCCGUGGCCUCCUCUCCAGAAGUUUCAGUGGCAUUUUCUUUACUCAGUCCAGACACAGAUAUUUAUAUCUCAGAUGAAGAUGAGUAUGAUGUUGACCUGAAAUCAUUGUUAAAUACAAUGUCAAACAAAGUGGAUUUUACAGCUGCACCCAUUUCCAACCAAAUCAAUGUAACACGAUGCAACAUCCUAGACAGUGGCAUCAGAGCCUUCCGACGCCAACGUUUUAACCCUGAGGCAAAACUAGAUGUUGUGUUCAGAGAUGCUGAUGGGAUUGGUGAGGGAGCCGCUGAUGAGGGUGGACCAACGAGAGAAUUUUUAACUUUGCUGAUGAGGGAAAUCCACUCAUGCGAAAUAUUUGAUGGAGAGGACUGGAAAAAACACUUGCCUGCAAUUCCAAAGGUAACCUCCUGCCUAAUUUGUGUGUGUGUGUGUUUACAUUAAGCAUUUUGGAAAAAUAGUUUGCCUCCUUUAUAAUUUUCUGUAAUUCUGCACACUUUCACAUUGAAUGUCAUUAGGUCUUUAUAAAAAUCAUCUUUAAUUAUUAAAAUUAAAACAUAGUCCCCUAUGAAAAAAGUGAUUAAUUUUUUAAGAAGCACCACACAUUUUCUAAGCAUUGUUUAUAGACAUAAUAAUGCUUUUCCCAUGUGUUACAGCACUGUACAAUGGAAUGUACAAAAUAGUUGGACGGAUG